GAAAUGCGAUAAGUAAUGUGAAUUGCAGAAUUCAGUGAAUCAUCGAAUCUUUGAACGCACAUUGCGCCCGCCAGUAUUCUGGCGGGCAUGCCUGUUCGAGCGUCAUUUCAACCAUCAAGCCCCCGGCUUGUGUUGGGGACCUGCGGCUGCCCGCAGGCCCUGAAAAACAGUGGCGGGCUCGCUGUCACACCGAGCGUAGUAGCAUACAUUCUCGCUCAGGGCGUGCUGCGGGUUCCGGCCGUUAAACGACCUUCAUACCCAAGGUUGACCUCGGAUCAGGUAGGAAGACCCGCUGAACUUAAGC
rnacentral:misc_RNA from 1 species